rnacentral:misc_RNA from 1 species
CCACAAUGUUACUGCCAUGGUUGGUGCUGGUGUCCUUAGCCUUCCCUAUGCUAUGGCUCAUCUUGGAUGGGGUCCUGGUGUUGCUAUACUUGUUCUUUCAUGGGUCAUUACCCUGUACACUCUGUGGCAAAUGGUUGAAAUGCACGAAAUGGUUCCUGGUAAACGGUUCGAUAGAUAUCAUGAGUUAGGUCAGUAUGCAUUUGGAGAGAAGCUAGGCCUCUGGAUUGUGGUACCUCAACAGCUAGUGGUAGAAGUUGGCGUAAAUAUUGUCUAUAUGGUUACUGGAGGAAAAUCACUGAAGAAGUUCCAUGAUGUGAUUUGCCCUGACUGCAAAGAUAUCAGGACCACAUAUUUCAUCAUGAUUUUCGCUUCUAUUCACUUUGUCCUCUCACAUCUUCCCAACUUCAACUCCAUUACUGUCGUCUCCCUUGCUGCAGCUGUCAUGUCCUUGAGGUAAAUCAUUUUUUCUUCUAGCAAGGAUCAAAACUCAGAAAGCUCAUAUGCAUGGUGCUCAGAAGCUUAUCAAGAAAUGGGAAUCCAUUGGUUUGCAGCUCGUAGCCUGUCACCAAUGCUUCUUUAAAUCAUUUUCAUCUAACAACUUUCUCCUUUUUUUAAUGUUAUGCUGGUUACAGUUACUCUACAAUUUCCUGGGUAGCUACUAUCCAUAAAGGGGUUCUAUCUGAUGUGGACUAUAGUUAUAAAGCUAGCACCAGAACUGGAGCUGUAUUUGGCUUCCUUAGUGCAUUAGGUGAUGUAGCUUUUGCAUAUGCUGGUCACAAUGUAGUUUUGGAGAUCCAGGCAACAAUUCCUUCUACUCCUGAAGUACCUUCUAAGAUACCUAUGUGGAAAGGAGUGAUUGUUGCAUACCUCCUUGUUGCCUUCUGCUACUUCCCUGUUGCUUGGAUCGGAUACCAGUAUUUUGGUAACAGUGUGGAUGACAAUAUCCUCAUCACCUUGGAAAAACCAGCUUGGCUUAUUGCAACUGCUAACAUGUUUGUUGUCAUUCAUGUCAUUGGAAGCUACCAGAUUUAUGCUAUGCCGGUGUUUGACAUGAUUGAAACUGUAUUGGUGAAGCACAUGAAUUUUGCACCUAGAUUCAGGCUUCGCUUUAUUGCUCGCACAAUAUACGUUGGUAUGUGUUUCCUGCUUCAGUUUUCUCAGUUGAAUUCUGAUGAGUUUCUAAUAUAUCUGCAUACUAACUGCAUAUUUGCAUUUGAAGAAGUACUCAUUUAAAUGCUAUUGUAUGAAAGAUUCUAAACUGAUUGCAGCAUUUACAAUGUUCAUUGGAAUAUGCAUUCCAUUCUUUGGAGGCCUGCUGGGAUUCUUUGGAGGAUUUGCCUUUGCCCCAACUACAUACUAUGUAUGCACUCCAUCAAAUAUUACAAGACACUGUAUUUCCAUUGCUGGUUCCUCAAACAAUCAAUACACACAAAUCUAAAAUUCUGAUUUCUUUUUUCUCUUACCAGCUCCCCUGUAUUAUUUGGCUUAACAUCCGCAAACCCAAGAGGUUCAGCUUGUCAUGGAUCAUAAAUUGGGCGUGCAUUGUGGUUGGAGUUUUGUUAACAGUCCUAGCACCCAUUGGUGGGCUAAGGCAGAUCAUUGUUUCAGCCAAGAGCUAUGAAUUCUUUUCAUGAAAAUUCUUGCAAAUGAUACCAAAUUACAUAGAUGGGCAAAUGGGGAUUGCAUAAUGUUUGUGUAUGAUAGAGGACAUGUGAUUUAGAUUUUUGAUUAUUAGGAUUACACUUCAUUUUGUAACUUGAUAAUGAACUUCUUGAAUUUGUGUUGUAUAUAAAUUAGGAUUGAUUGCAUGUUCUCACUUCUCAACAUAUUAUUAUGAAGUAUUCUUCCUCCAUUAAUGGAUAAUGAAUGUCCUUACCUUUAGUUUCCUUCUAGGCUUUUGAGUAUUUACAU